CGACUCUCGGCAACGGAUAUCUCGGCUCUCGCAUCGAUGAAGAACGUAGCGAAAUGCGAUACUUGGUGUGAAUUGCAGAAUCCCGUGAACCAUCGAGUCUUUGAACGCAAGUUGCGCCCGAGGCCGCUCGGCCGAGGGCACGUCUGCCUGGGUGUCACG
rnacentral:rRNA from 1 species